rnacentral:tRNA from 1 species
GGGCGGUUAGUUCAGUUGGUUAGAACGCCUGAUUUACAUUCAGGAGGUCACAGGUUCAAGUCCUGUAUCGCCCA